GGUAGUGCAGGGGUUCUCAAUCCGGGGUCUGUGAAGGUACUGCAGGGGUUCUCAAUCCGGGGUCUGUGGAGGUACUGCAGGGGUUCUCAAUCCGGGGUCUGUGGAGGUACUGCAGGGGUUCUCAAUCCGGGGUCUGUGGAGGUACUGCAGGGGUUCUCAAUCCGGGGUCUGUGGAGGUACUGCAGGGGUUCUCAAUCCGGGGUCUGUGGAGGUACUGCAGGGGUUCUCAAUCCGGGGUCUGUGGAGGUACUGCAGGGGUUCUCAAUCCGGGGUCUGUGGAGGUACUGCAGGGGUUCUCAAUCCGGGGUCUGUGGAGGUACUGGUUCUGCGGCACCCUGACUCGUUGAUAUGUAAGAUAUU